CUCCCGGCAGCGGGGGCAGCCCCGGUGGUCGAGGGGGCGCGCCCCGGGAGGGCCCGUCCCGCCUGCGCUCCGUGCGCCGCCGUUUCCCCCGGCCCGAGGGCGGGGGCAGCCCGGGCUGCGGCGCGGUGUGGCGGCCCGUGCACCCGCGGCCCCGCACCGCUGGAUGCGGGCAGGGCGGGGUGAGGCCCCCUCUCCCCGCGCAUCUUCCUCAUUCUUCUUAUUUUCCUUCCACGCGGUUUAGAACGCAGCUGAGGGCCGCCGCAGGGCGCACGCCGCAGGUGGCCGGCGGGGCUUGGCACGGAGGCAGGGCCUGGGCCGCCCCGCAGCAGGACACCUCGGCCGAGUCUGCGGGGAGGUGGGCCCCGACGUACGGGCCAAGGGGGCCCCGCCGCCAGCAGAGACCUGCCCGGGCAGCGGCGGCUGACGUGUUACGGGGCACCUGGACACUGUGUUGUGCAGGACUUCACCUCCUUGGCCUGCUUAGAGAAGGCGCUUCAAAACAAACGGGCGUCCUCUGAAAUCGCUGCAUGUCAAGUUACUUGAAGUAGUCCCGUGAAGGAUUUCAGAUAUAUCCCUGAAUCUCUAGGAAGAUCACUAAAUACAGUAUGAUACAGCAGUUGGGAUUAGCAGCCAAAAUAGAGAAGAGAGGAACUGCCAGCAAAGGAGAAGGUCUCUCUGAGUUUUGUUAAUUCCCUGGAAAUUCCACGAGAGCAGAAUUUGGAGAAAUUUCAUCCUGGGAGUACUGGGCCAUAUCUUCUACAGCAAGAUAUUUUGUUGCUUCUAUCCUUUCUAGGUUGCUUUGCCUGUAGUUUUUGUCAUCUUUGGUAUGUCUUUAUUCUCCUAAACUGGUAUUAAUGGCAGAUUUCAUUAGCAUUUUCUUAACUCUCUUGGUUUUUGUCACUUUAUUUCAUCUAUCAAACAUGAUCCCUGGAGAAUCCCAUUAGGCAAGUCAUCAUAAAUCAAAACUUUAUCUUUUGUUAUUCUUUGUUUAAGGUUCUGCAGCCUAUUUUAGAUCUGUUAGAAAUGCCUUUCAUAUCCCACCCCAUCCUAUCAUUCCUCUCAGAGUAAUUUUCAAUUAAUUUUUAAUCCAGAGGCUUGGCUGGUCAGGAUAGUUAGUGAGGGUAUGAAUUCAUAGCACACCAAUGCUCAUUCAUCUUAGUCCACCCACAGCCUGAUACCCAGUACUUCCUAUUGGCGUGGCCCAUCUCGAGCCUGAGGGACAGCCGACGGCAAGUGCUGGGCAAUGCAACUGGGGAAGAAUUAAGGGCAUCCGAAUAGAAUGCUUACCGUCCAUACAGUGAAAAAUAGCUUAGUUCAGCUUGUCUUUUAACACUGCUGGCAUCUGGUAGAAAUUACGAGUAGCUGAUUCCAUCGGCAGAGAGCCUACAGAAGCUGAGAUUUAUUCUGGCUAUAUAGGUUAUAACGUACAGUUGAGACUGAGGAGGCAGAUAGAUAACAUAAGCUUCAAGCUGUAAACGUCAUUGCAUACAACAUGCAGAUGGCCAUGCACAUCCUUUUUGGCUUACUGAAAAGCACAAACUCGCUAUAGCUUUUUGUGCUGGCUAUAAUAGAUCUCAACUGACUGAUACUAUUUUAAAUGAGGGCUAUGUGCCUAAGUGCUUAAAUCUGCAUGGCAUAUAUUCAAACCGACCCUCUCCCACAGCCUUCUGUGCUUCAGAAGAUAUGAAGGGAGUCCGAUUCACUGGUGAGAUACAGAAUAAAGAGAUAUUAUUAAUCCUUUAUUAUAUUUUCUUCUUAGUAGAUGUCUUUCGUGUGUAGGUGUGAAUGGAUGUGUAGGAGAGAAUUGAUUUUGACAGGAGUAGGGUGAAAUGCAGGUGGAGGGGUGUCCAGGAUCACUGGGAAUGGAGAACUGCUUUCUUGCAAAAAUGUCAGCCCAGAAGAAAUCACAAAGAUAGAAAGGAGAGAAAGAAGAAGAAGGAUCUUUGAGCAAGCGAGAUUUGCAGAACAAAGUGAGAACAUUCAUUCAGAUCCCUACAGUGAAAGAAGUGGUAAUUCAACUGCAAAAACACCAGUUCAUAGUAACACAUGCUUUUAUUAUUGCAUAAUUACUGAUUGCUGGGUGUUUGAAAAUGUGCUGACAUCAAAAAGAAUCUUGUAACGUACUACUGGUCUAAAUAGACCUUUGUCUUUAUAAACAAUAAUUGGAGAUCAAUCAUUAGUCAGUAAGCACCUACCCUAUCUAUACAGCCAGAGUGAGAACUGGUAAAUAAAUGACAGGGCAACAGGGAAUCGACAACCUGGCCAAGUUAUGUGUGACCAUGCUUCAGAGUCUGCUGAAGACUUACAAUCACCCCCACCCCUGCAACACUUGAAGUUUAACAUCGCUAGAGUUGGAAAAGUAACGUAGCCUUUUUGCCUUGUCUAAGGCAUUUUUGCCUUGCACAGUAAACUCGCUAGUGAUAUGGUCUGAGUCCCUUUUCUGCUAAGAUACCUACAUGAGCUCCAUGAACUGCUGAGGAAAGGGGUGGAUCCAAAAUGAUGAAAACCACCGGGGUUAACAUGUAUAAUAUUGAAGAUAUUGAAAACAUGUAGAUACAAAAUUGCAUGUAUUUAUCUUUACUCACAUUCUGUAUCAUGUAUCUUACAUUGUAAGCCCAUUGGGUCAGGUGACCGCUGAUACUGUUUUCCACUGAAUGUGGUGGAUUCAAGUUCCUGCUUUACAGUAAUUAAACAAGAAGCAUAGUAAGAUGAGAUGGAAAAAAACCUAAAAAAACAGUAAACAAGAACUUGAUAGAUCUUGAACACUUCAUAUUUAUUGUACAUUAAAUAAAACAAUUUCAGGUCAGUUGAGAGACUGGUGGGUUGGAUUUAGGAAACCAAAACUUCUAAAGGAAGAUAUGUUUAGCUUAAAUGAUCAUUAAGUAACAUAUUAAUUCAUCAUAACGUAUUAAUUACGUUAUAGUAAAACCAUAUUGUUAAACAAUUAUCAGGUGAAUAAGGUACAUUAUCAAAGAGGUAUGUAUUCCAAGGGUCUUAUUGCACAGCUACUGGCUAAUCCAUGUACUUUCAGUCUGAGAAAAGUAUGCUUUGUACCACCAAGUACAAACUCUGACUGCCUCCUGGUGUUUAUUACACAGCUUCUCCUCUUUCCUCAUCAAAAAACAGACCACAACAUCAAACAGAAAAUAAAGCUGAACAUUACAAAA